rnacentral:rRNA from 1 species
UACGGAGGAUGCAAGCGUUAUCCGGAAUGAUUGGGCGUAAAGCGUCCGCAGGUGGCUGUGUAAGUCUGCUGUUAAAGAGUGAGGCUCAACCUCAUAAGAGCAGUGGAAACUACACAGCUAGAGUGCGUUCGGGGCAGAGGGAAUUCCUGGUGUAGCGGUGAAAUGCGUAGAGAUCAGGAAGAACACCGGCGGCGAAGGCGCUCUGCUAGGCCGCAACUGACACUGAGGGACGAAAGCUAGGGGAGCGAAUGGG